GCUGCGUCCGAAACCGCCUACUACAUACUAUAUAGUACGCGAAAAGCAGUAGGCGAGGCGAGUAGUAUGUCCGAAUACAUAGUAUUCGAAAAACAGUAUGCGAAAAGUACCCGGAUGACCUACUACUUCCGGUUAGAUUUUGCAGUGUGCAUACGAUGGACGCUUCACUAUCCCAUGAUGCCCCGGGAGAGGAGUUAUCCAACGAAGAAGAAGAGGCACGCGGCUGUUUUCGCGCUGAAAUGACAUGACGUGAUGACGACGUUUGUCACGUGAUGUAACAACAUGGCGGAUGUAGUACGUCCGAAUCUCAUUCAUACUACCAGGAUUCAUACUAUACAGUACCUACUGUUUUAAUGCCAAGUAAGUAGGUACUUCAUCUAAUUCAGUACCUACUAUACAGUAUGCGGUUUCGGACGCAGCCAAGGAGCUGGCUGAAGUUCAGGAAGUAGUGCAGCUGGGCAUAAAGCCUAUUGCACGUGCUCGCUUAGUCUACGAGUCUGUAGGGUGUCCAUACUAUCAUUUUUAUGCUUUGAAGUGUGCUCAUCAGCGCCCCCUUUGCCCCUUGAUGCGGUCUUCAGCAGGAUUCGCGCACUUUACCAACACAUAAUUCUCCAAAAAGAAAAAGAAAAAAGAAACGUUCUUAUUAGAUUGUACAGUUUCUGACAUUUUCACCAGUACAUGAAGUUUCUCUUCAGCAUAAUGCAGGACAGAUGUCAUCUUGUGGUUCUGUAGAGGUCUGAAGAGAAGUCAACUGGUCCAUGUUCUGACCCAGAAGAACUCAUCCUCAUCUAACACGUCUGGAAAUCUUCAGCUCUUAUUGCGUGAUUAUGCAAUACAUAUACUGCAGGGUACACAAGCUGAGUAGGGGCCCGAAACACUGUGGGGCCCCCUUGCUUCUUAACUUCAUGUCGCACUUCACAGACCAAUUGGUGAGUGAAACCAUUGUGCCGCAAGAGCCAUUGGAAAGCUUCACAAGCAGUCUGAUCUCACAAUACUUGACCUCUUUCCCCACCACUGAUGAAUUUUUAUGGUUAUCUGUAAUACUGCGGUUAUCCACUAGUUACCCAAUUUAUAAAAAAACUGAAGCAAAAUUUUUUUUAUUAAGUUUACACUCCAUAUAUGUUUU